UACGAAGGGGGCUAGCGUUGUUCAGAAUCACUGGGCGUAAAGCGCACGUAGGCGGAUCUUUAAGUCAGGGGUGAAAUCCCGAGGCUCAACCUCGGAACUGCCUUUGAUACUGGGGAUCUCGAGUCCGGGAGAGGUGAGUGGAACUGCGAGUGUAGAGGUGAAAUUCGUAGAUAUUCGCAAGAACACCAGUGGCGAAGGCGGCUCACUGGCCCGGAACUGACGCUGAGGUGCGAAAGCGUGGGGAGCAAACAGG
rnacentral:rRNA from 1 species